rnacentral:rRNA from 1 species
GAUUUCUGGUACGGCGCACUUGGCCCGUCUCGGUUACGAGGUUGAGUGCCGGUGUGCGCCUGCCAUCCUUCUAGAGUACGACUCUCCCUUUACUGGGUUGGGCCGGAAUCUAGAUCAUUUACUUUGAAAAAAUUAGAGUGUUUAAAGCAGGCUUACGCUAUGAAUACAUUAGCAUGGAAUAAUAAUUUAGGACUUUGGUCUUAUUUUGUUGGUUUCUAGGACUAAAGUAAUGAUUGAUAGGGAUAGUUGGGGGUGCUAGUAUUCAUCGGCCAGAGGUGAAAUUCUUGGAUUCGAUGAAGACUAACUAAUGCGAAAGCAUU